UACGGGAGAAGCCUGAUGGAGAGGGGCUUGCGGAUGAGAGCGAGAGAAAAUUGCAUUUACAGUAAAUAAAAGCAUCCCUCACAGAGGAUCUCUCAACUCAACAUGACCUUUGAUGUUGCAAGGACACAUGGCCUAGACAGAAAGAAAAGUCCACCCCCGAGACAAGCUACACAUGAUUUUUAAUACACCCUUUAAAUCAGGAGAUGACAUG